CUGGAUAAACUAAUAUGAGUUUCUCUGGAUUCUAAGUUUGUUCUAAUUCCUGCUCUGGGUUGAGUGAAGCAU